rnacentral:lncRNA from 1 species
UUUCCUAUUGAUUUUUAAAUUUCAUGUGUUUCUUAUGACACUUAAUAGAUAGCAUCAUUGGCAUUGUUGACCGACUCCGAGUGUGGGAUGCCUUGAAGGUUUGAAAAUUAUUCCGGAAACAUGCAAGGAAGGGAUUGUCGAGUUGGGUUUUCUUUCGUUGAUGGUUUGAUUCUUUGAACCUUUUGUUAUUGCUUAAUUUUCCCAAAAAUUAUGUAUAUCAUUUUCCUAUUGAUUUUAAAAUUUCUUUUGUUUCUCGUGACAAUGAUAGCAUCAUUGACAUUGAUGAAAGACUUUGAGUGUCUUGAUUUAUUGAAAGAAACUAGUGGCACUCAAGUGUAUGAAGAGAGACGCCAAGAAAUAGUAUUUGAUUCCUUGAACCUUUUAUUAGUGCUUAAUUUUGCUAAAAAUUAUGUAUAUUCUUUUCCUAUUGAUUUUUAAAUUUCAUGUGUUUCUUAUGACACUUAAUAGAUAGCAUCAUUGGCAUUGUUGACCGACUCCGAGUGUGGGAUGCCUUGAAAGUUUGAAAAUUAUUCCGGAAACAUGCAAGGAAGGGAUAGUCGAGUUGGGUUUUCUUUCGUUGAUGGUUUGAUUCUUUGAACCUUUUGUUAUUGCUUAAUUUUCCCAAAAAUUAUGUAUAUCAUUUUCCUAUUGAUUUUAAAAUUUCUUUUGUUUCUCGUGACAAUGAUAGCAUCAUUGACAUUGAUGAAAGACUUUGAGUGUCUUGAUUUAUUGAAAGAAACUAGUGGCACUCAAGUGUAUGAAGAGAGACGCCAAGAAAUAGUAUUUGAUUCCUUGAACCUUUUAUUAGUGCUUAAUUUUGCUAAAAAUUAUGUAUAUUCUUUUCCUAUUGAUUUUUUAAAUUUCAUGUGUUUCUUAUGACACUUAAUAGAUAGCAUCAUUGGCAUUGUUGACCGACUCCGAGUGUGGGAUGCCUUGAAAGUUUGAAAAUUAUUCCGGAAACAUGCAAGGAAGGGAUUGUCGAGUUGGGUUUUCUUUCGUUGAUGGUUUGAUUCGUUGAACCUUUUGUUAUUGCUUAAUUUUCCCAAAAAUUAUGUAUAUCAUUUUCCUAUUGAUUUUAAAAUUUCUUUUGUUUCUCGUGACAAUGAUAGCAUGCAUCAUUGACAUUGAUGAAAGACUUUGAGUGUCUUGAUUUAUUGAAAGAAACUAGUGGCACUCAAGUGUAUGAAGAGAGACGCCAAGAAAUAGUAUUUGAUUCCUUGAACCUUUUUAUUGUGCUUAAUUUUGCUAAAAAUUAUGUAUAUUCUUUUCCUAUUGAUUUUUAAAUUUCAUGUGUUUCUUAUGACACUUAAUAGAUAGCAUCAUUGGCAUUGUUGACCGACUCCGAGUGUGGGAUGCCUUGAAAGUUUGAAAAUUAUUCCGGAAACAUGCAAGGAAGGGAUAGUCGAGUUGGGUUUUCUUUCGUUGAUGGUUUGAUUCUUGAACCUUUUGUUAUUGCUUAAUUUUCCCAAAAAUUAUGUAUAUCAUUUUCCUAUUGAUUUUAAAAUUUCUUUUGUUUCUCGUGACAAUGAUAGCAUCAUUGACAUUGAUGAAAGACUUUGAGUGUCUUGAUUUAUUGAAAGAAACUAGUGGCACUCAAGUGUAUGAAGAGAGACGCCAAGAAAUAGUAUUUGAUUCCUUGAACCUUUUAUUGUGCUUAAUUUUGCUAAAAAUUAUGUAUAUUCUUUUCCUAUUGAUUUUUAAAUUUCAUGUGUUUCUUAUGACACUUAAUAGAUAGCAUCAUUGGCAUUGUUGACCGACUCCGAGUGUGGGAUGCCUUGAAGGUUUGAAAAUUAUUCCGGAAACAUGCAAGGAAGGGAUAGUCGAGUUGGGUUUUCUUUCGUUGAUGGUUUGAUUCUUUGAACCUUUUGUUAUUGCUUAAUUUUCCCAAAAAUUAUGUAUAUCAUUUUCCUAUUGAUUUUAAAAUUUCUUUUGUUUCUCGUGACAAUGAUAGCAUCAUUGACAUUGAUGAAAGACUUUGAGUGUCUUGAUUUAUUGAAAGAAACUAGUGGCACUCAAGUGUAUGAAGAGAGACGCCAAGAAAUAGUAUUUGAUUCCUUGAACCUUUUAUUAGUGCUUAAUUUUGCUAAAAAUUAUGUAUAUUUUUUCCUAUUGAUUUUUAAUUUCAUGUGUUUCUUAUGACACUUAAUAGAUAGCAUCAUUGGCAUUGUUGACCGACUCCGAGUGUGGGAUGCCUUGAAAGUUUGAAAAUUAUUCCGGAAACAUGCAAGGAAGGGAUAGUCGAGUUGGGUUUUCUUUCGUUGAUGGUUUGAUUCUUUGAACCUUUUGUUAUUGCUUAAUUUUCCCAAAAAUUAUGUAUAUCAUUUUCCUAUUGAUUUUAAAAUUUCUUUUGUUUCUCGUGACAAUGAUAGCAUCAUUGACAUUGAUGAAAGACUUUGAGUGUCUUGAUUUAUUGAAAGAAACUAGUGGCACUCAAGUGUAUGAAGAGAGACGCCAAGAAAUAGUAUUUGAUUCCUUGAACCUUUUAUUAGUGCUUAAUUUUGCUAAAAAUUAUGUAUAUUCUUUUCCUAUUGAUUUUUAAAUUUCAUGUGUUUCUUAUGACACUUAAUAGAUAGCAUCAUUGGCAUUGUUGACCGACUCCGAGUGUGGGAUGCCUUGAAAGUUUGAAAAUUAUUCCGGAAACAUGCAAGGAAGGGAUAGUCGAGUUGGGUUUUCUUUCGUUGAUGGUUUGAUUCUUUGAACCUUUUGUUAUUGCUUAAUUUUCCCAAAAAUUAUGUAUAUCAUUUUCCUAUUGAUUUUAAAAUUUCUUUUGUUCUCGUGACAAUGAUAGCAUCAUUGACAUUGAUGAAAGACUUUGAGUGUCUUGAUUUAUUGAAAGAAACUAGUGGCACUCAAGUGUAUGAAGAGAGACGCCAAGAAAUAGUAUUUGAUUCCUUGAACCUUUUAUUAGUGCUUAAUUUUGCUAAAAAUUAUGUAUAUUCUUUUCCUAUUGAUUUUUAAAUUUCAUGUGUUUCUUAUGACACUUAAUAGAUAGCAUCAUUGGCAUUGUUGACCGACUCCGAGUGUGGGAUGCCUUGAAAGUUUGAAAAUUAUUCCGGAAACAUGCAAGGAAGGGAUAGUCGAGUUGGGUUUUCUUUCGUUGAUGGUUUGAUUCUUUGAACCUUUUGUUAUUGCUUAAUUUUCCCAAAAAUUAUGUAUAUUAUUUUCCUAUUGAUUUUAAAAUUUCUUUCGUUUCUCGUGACAAUGAUAGCAUCAUUGACAUUGAUGAAAGACUUUGAGUGUCUUGAUUUAUUGAAAGAAACUAGUGGCACUCAAGUGUAUGAACAGGUGCCAAGAAAUAAUAUUUGAUUCCUUGAACCUUUUAUUAGUGCUUAAUUUUACUUAAAAUUAUGUAUAUUCUUUCCCAAUUGAUUUUUAAAUUCCAUGUGUUUCUUAUGACACUUAAUAGAUAGCAUCAUUGGCAUUGUUGACCGACUCCGAGUGUGGGAUGCCUUGAAGGUUUGAAAAUUAUUCCGGAAACAUGCAAGGAAGGGAUAGUCGAGUUGGGUUUUCUUUCGUUGAUGGUUUGAUUCUUUGAACCUUUUGUUAUUGCUUAAUUUUCCCAAAAAUUAUGUAUAUCAUUUUCCUAUUGAUUUUAAAAUUUCUUUCGUUUCUCGUGACAAUGAUAGCAUCAUUGACAUUGAUGAAAGACUUUGAGUGUCUUGAUUUAUUGAAAGAAACUAGUGGCACUCAAGUGUAUGAAGAGAGACGCCAAGAAAUAGUAUUUGAUUCCUUGAACCUUUUAUUAGUGCUUAAUUUUGCUAAAAAUUAUGUAUAUUCUUUUCCUAUUAGAUUUUGAAUUUCAUGUGUUUCUUAUGACACUUAAUAGAUAGCAUCAUUGGCAUUGUUGACCGACUCCGAGUGUGGGAUGCCUUGAAAGUUUGAAAAUUAUUCCGGAAACAUGCAAGGAAGGGAUUGUCGAGUUGGGUUUUCUUUCGUUGAUGGUUUGAUUCUUUGAACAUUUUGUUAUUGCUUAAUUUUCCCAAAAAUUAUGUAUAUCAUUUUCCUAUUGAUUUUAAAAUUUCUUUUAUUUCUCGUGACAAUGUGAGACGCCAAGAAAUGAUAUUUGAUUCCUUGAAAUUUUUAUUAGUGCUUAAUUUUGCUAAAAAUUAUGUAUAUUCUUUUCCUAUUGAUUUUUAAAUUUCAUGUGUUUCUUAUGACACUUAAUAGAUAGCAUCAUUGGCAUUGUUGACCGACUCCGAGUGUGGGUUGCCUUGAAGGUUUGAAAAUUAUUCCGGAAGCAUGCAAGGAAGGGAUAGUCGAGUUGGGUUUUUUCUUGUUGAUGGUUUGAUUCUUUGAACCUUUUGUUAUUGCUUAAUUUUCCCAAAAAUUAUGUAUAUUUUCCUAUUGAUUUUAAAAUUUCUUUGUUUCUCGUGACAAUGAUAGCAUCAUUGACAUUGAUGAAAGACUUUGAGUGUCUUGAUUUAUUGAAAGAAACUAGUGGCACUCAAGUGUAUGAACAGGUGCCAAGAAAUAAUAUUUGAUUCCUUGAACCUUUUAUUAGUGCUUAAUUUUGCUAAAAAUUAUGUAUAUUCUUUUCCUAUUGAUUUUUAAAUUUCAUGUGUUUCUUAUGACACUUAAUAGAUAGCAUCAUUGGCAUUGUUGACCGACUCCGAGUGUGGGAUGCCUUGAAGGUUUGAAAAUUAUUCCGGAAACAUGCAAGGAAGGGAUAGUCGAGUUGGGUUUUCUUUCGUUGAUGGUUUGAUUCUUUGAACCUUUUGUUAUUGCUUAAUUUUCCCAAAAAUUAUGUAUAUCAUUUUCCUAUUGAUUUUAAAAUUUCUUUCGUUUCUCGUGACAAUGAUAGCAUCAUUGACAUUGAUGAAAGACUUUGAGUGUCUUGAUUUAUUGAAAGAA